rnacentral:rRNA from 1 species
GUUCUAACCAUAAACGAUGCCAGCUAGCGAUCUGCCGACGUUUUUUUGUAGACUCGGCAGGAAGCUUCCGGGAAACCAAAGCAUUUGGGUUCCAGGGGAAGUAUGGUUGCAAAGGUGAAACUUAAAGGAAUUGACGGAAGGGCACCACCAGGAGUGGAGCCUGUGGCUUAAUUUGACUCAACACGGGAAAUCUCACCAGGCCCGGACACUGGAAGGAUUGACAGAUUGAUAGCUCUUUCUUGAUUCGGUGGGUGGUGGUGCAUGGCCGUUCUUAGUUGGUGGAGUGAUUUGUCUGGUUAAUUCCGAUAACGAACGAGACUCUGUCCUGCUAAAUAGUGUCCGCCUCUCUUCUGGGCGGACAAUUCUUCUUAGAGGGACUGGCGACUCUCAGUCGCACGAGAUUGAGCAAUAACAGGUCUGUGAUGCCCUUAGAUGUUCUGGGCCGCACACGCGCUACACUGAAUAGAUCAACGUGUUCCCCCUGUCCGAGAGGACCGGGUAAACCGCUGAACCCUAUUCGUGGUAGGGAUCGGGGCUUGCAAUUAUUCCCCGUAAACCAGGAAUUCCCAGUAGGCGCAAGUCAUAAGCUUGUGUCGAUUACGUCCCUGCCCUUUGUACACACCGCCCGUCGCUACUACCGAUUGAACGUUUUAGUGAGGUCCUCGGACUGUUUGGUAGGCGGAUUACUCUGCCUGCCUGGCGGGAAGACGACCAA